CAGUAGCCGCGGGAAUACGGAGGGAGCUAGCGUUGUUCGGAAUUACUGGGCGUAAAGCGUGCGUAGGCGGUGAGUUAAGUCUGCUGUGAAAUCCCCGGGCUCAACCUGGGAAUGGCAGUGGAUACUGGCUCGCUAGAGUGUGUCAGAGGAUGGUGGAAUUCCAGGUGUAGCGGUGAAAUGCGUAGAGAUCUGGAGGAAUACCGGUGGCGAAGGCGGCCCCCUGGACAAAGACUGACGCUCAGGUGCGAAAGCGUGGGGAGCAAACAGGAUUAGAUACCCCUGUAGUCCCUGUCUCUUAUAC
rnacentral:rRNA from 1 species